rnacentral:rRNA from 1 species
CCUACGGGAGGCAGCAGUAGGGAAUCUUCCGCAAUGGACGAAAGUCUGACGGAGCAACGCCGCGUGAACGAUGAAGGCCUUCGGGUCGUAAAGUUCUGUUGUUAGGGAAGAACAAGUACCGUUCGAAUAGGGCGGUACCUUGACGGUACCUAACCAGAAAGCCACGGCUAACUACGUGCCAGCAGCCGCGGUAAUACGUAGGUGGCAAGCGUUGUCCGGAAUUAUUGGGCGUAAAGCGCGCGCAGGCGGUCUCUUAAGUCUGAUGUGAAAUCUCACGGCUCAACCGCGGGCGGCCAUUGGAAACUGGGAGACUUGAGUGCAGAAGAGGAGAGUGGAAUUCCAUGUGUAGCGUUGAAAUGCGUAGAUAUAUGGAGGAACACCAGUGGCGAAGGCGACUCUCUGGUCUGUAACUGACGCUGAGGCGCGAAAGCGUGGGGAGCAAACAGGAUUAGAUACCCUGGUAGUCCACGCCGUAAACGAUGAGUGCUAGGUGUUAGGGGUUUCGAUGCCCUUAGUGCCGAAGUUAACACAUUAAGCGCUCCGCCUGGGGAGUACGACCGCAAGGUUGAA